GUAUGAGGACCAUAGUAAUGUAUAAAGGUGAGUUAGAGAGUAGGUAUGAGGACCAUAGUAAUGUAUAAAGGUGAGUUAGAGAGUAGGUAUGAGGACCAUAGUAAUGUAUAAAGAUGAGUUAGAGAGUAGGUAUGAGAACCAUAGUAAUGUAUAAAGGUGAGUUAGAGAGUAGGUAUGAGGACCAUAGUAACGUAUAAAGGUGAGUUAGAGAGUAGGUAUGAGGACCAUAGUAACGUAUAAAGGUGAGUUAGAGAGUAGGUAUGAGGACCAUAGUAAUGUAUAAAGGUGAGUUAGAGAGUAGGUAUGAGGACCAUAGUAAUGUAUAAAGGUGAGUUAGAGAGUAGGUACGAGGACCAUAGUAAUGUAUAAAGGUGAGUUGGAGAGUAGGUAUGAGUAGGUAUGAGGACCACAGUAAUGUAUAAAGGUGAGUUAGAGAGUAGGUAUGAGGACCAUAGUAAUGUAUAAAGGUGAGUUAGAGAGUAGGUAUGAGGACCAUAGUAAUGUAUAAAGGUGAGUUAGAGAGUAGGUAUGAGGACCAUAGUAAUGUAUAAAGGUGAGUUAGAGAGUAGGUAUGAGGACCACAGUAAUGUAUAAAGGUGAGUUAGAGAGUAGGUAUGAGGACCAUAGUAAUGUAUAAAGGUGAGU